AACAUUUUUUUGCUCAUUAGCAGUUGGUAGAUAAUGAUGUUAAAUCAUGUGACGUAAUUUGAUAUGCUAGUUCCCUUAGAUGGGAACACUAUCAUGCAUGUAUACAACUUUCCAGUGAAGCAAAUAAGAAAAGAAACCUUUGUUUGAGUUAAUGAAUUAAAAACUAUUUGAAAGUGGUCUGUAGAACAGUAUAAAUCAGAGAGAUGACAACCGAAGUUACAUAGUCACAACCUUUCGAAAACUUAAAAGAAUUAUUCGAUAACGUGGGUAAUUUGAAACCAUGACCGGAAAUUGAAUAACUACGAGAUUCAACUGAUUAUGUGUACAGUGGUUUAGAAAUAAGCGCAGAAAGAAUGCAGUUAGAAAAAUUGGAUAGAGAAGUACAUCCUAAAACGUUGCUUUGUCAUGAUAUGAAAGGUGGCUGCCUAGAAGACAGAUUUAUAUAUCGAUCAGAAUCUUAUGAUUCUUACCUAUUUUAUCACUGGAGUGUUAUUGACACGUUUGUGUAUUUUAGUCAUCGUUUCAUAACUGCGCCACCUUUUGGAUGGAUUAAUGUAGCACAUAAUCAUGGUGUAAAAGUUCUUGGUACUGUAAUUACGGAAAGAGAAGGUACCUGGGAUGUAAUACUUGAAUCUCAGGAAGAAGUAAGAAGAUUUGCAGAUGCACUAAUACUUGUUGCAAAAUUUUAUAAAUUCGAUUUUAUAAGUCUGGUUAUUAAAUAUUGAAAAUACCAUUAAAAAGAUUUCUUUUUAAACUGCGAUGGCAUUUACUUGAAUUAUAACUGGACGAAAUCAAAAUUGGAAAACGGUUUGGCACUUGCAAAAAAUCACAGCAGAGAUAUUCAUGAUAUUUAUGUAGGACUUGAUAUUUGGGGAAGAUGUUGUCCUGGUGGUGGUGGAUUUAAUUCAACAUAUGCUUUACCAAAAAUACGACACUAAGGACUUUCUGUCGCGCUUUUUGGUCCAGGUUGGACUCACGAAUUUUUCGGAUCUAAGACAUUCCAAGAAAUAGAAGAUCUAUUUUGGGCACAGUUGUUUCCUUGUUUAUAGCAAACGGAAGUCAACACGAACCAAUACUAGUUCUCGGCAAUAAUACCGGCUUAAAAUCCAUCGUUCGUUAUAAAUCAAGGGAGUUGGUUGCCAACUGGAAAAGAUGAAAGCAGAUAUAUAUGUGUCUGGUUGACAUUAUGAUUAGCUGCCUGUAAGGAAUCUUCAUUUGGACUAGACCAACCACAGUAGCCAUACGGACGACGAUGCGCUAGCCACUAGCACUGCAAUCGACAAGCAAUACACCAUACCCAAAACAACAGCACAAGAAAUUAGAAAUAUAAACAAAAAACAACAAAGCACUAGGAAUCGAUCUAAUCAAUGGCAAAAUAUUGAAAAACCUCCCUCCAAAAGCGAUACGACUAAUCACUAUAAUAUUCAAUGCAAUACCAAGAAUACAAUAUUAUCCUACAUUAUGGAAACAGGCACAAAUCAUAAUGUUACCCAAACCAGGCAAAGACCCGCAUGAAGCAACAUCCUACAGACCAAUAUCACUACUCCCCGUGCUCUCCAAAAUACUAGAAAAAGUAAUAUACGCCCGACUAAAACCAAUAAUAGAGAAGGAAAAAUUAAUACCAGACCAUCAAUUUGGAUUCAGAAACAAA